rnacentral:rRNA from 1 species
GACGAACGCUGGCGGCGUGCUUAACACAUGCAAGUCGAACGGAAAGGCCCUGCUUUUGUGGGGUGCUCGAGUGGCGAACGGGUGAGUAACACGUGAGUAACCUGCCCUUGACGUUGGGAUAACUUCAGGAAACUGGGGCUAAUACCGGCUAGGAGCUCCUGCUGCAUGGGGGGGGUUGGAAAGUUUCGGCGGUUGGGGAUGGACUCGCGGCUUAGCAGCUUGUUGGUGGGGUAGUGGCUUACCAAGGCUUUGAUGGGUAGCCGGCCUGAGAGGGUGACCCGCCACAUUGGGACUGAGAUACGGCCCAGACGCAUACGGGAGGCAGGAGUGGGGAAUUGUUCACAAUGUGCGGAAGCCGGAUGCAGCAACGCCGCGUGCGGGAUGACGGCCUUCGGGUUGUAAACCGCUUUCGCCAGUGACGAAGCGUGAGUGACUGUAAUAGGGAAAGAAGCACCGGCUAACUACGU